CACAGCCACUAGAGCUGCUAUCGUAUCGGUGACGCUGCAGUGCCGUGGAAAAAGACUGUCGUGGAAAAAACGUUUUCUUUACACUGUGAGGAAGUUUAUUCUUCCGAACAAAAGUGACUAUUUACUACUAACCAGAAAGGAUAUUUUUUUCCUGUUGAGGACUUUCCCUUCAAAAGAGAGACAAAUGAUUAAACACUGCCGUUGCAAAGAGAGGUUCUGAUUUUAAAGUGUUGACAGGUUAGUAAAGAACGCUGUGCCUGGCUCGGGGCAGUCAGGAUGGAUGGAUGGUAGAAGCACAAAAUAAAUUCACAAGAACUUCCAGCGAGAUCUCCAGUGAGUCAUCAAAUCUCCAGGGAGCAGGGACGUCAUAUGGAAAUGUUAAACAGUCCUUCAGGCAUAUUAAUCAGAGCCUAACAUGGUCUUGGACAAUUACCCUCCCUUAACUUUGUUUACAGUAUUUUAACACCCAUUUGAUUUUAUAAUGCUACCAUGGCUGGUAUUGGGACCAGCCUCCCUGUGGACUGCAGACAACUGCUCAUCUCAGCCACCUUUAGGGAGCAGAUGGACACUUUGUAGAGGCCAUAUUCCCCACAGUUACACAGCAAAUAUCUGCUGUGGGGGAAUCAUAACAAUACAAUUUACCAGGAAUAACUAACUCUUGUCAGCUUUGUGCUGUACAUAAACAUUGCCAAUUGCAUUUCAUAUUUGCUUCUUUCAAUUAACACCAUUAAGGAAAUGUUAAAGGUUGUACAGAAAACAACGAAUGCGGAACAAUCUAAAUUUAAUUACCAUCAUGGGUCAAGGAUUGUACUGUAUUAAUCUAUACCUGAUAAAUAUUGCACACCGUUUUUCAUAGUUUCUAAAAUUAGGCUAAGAAUCACUGUUGUUCCCCUCGUCACUCAAAAUAACUGAACCUAACUAAGAGACACUUCUAUAAAUUGGUGGUCUUUGUCCAUGGAGCUCAUCAUGGGUGGUUAGAAGAUAUUGCCCUGUCCUGGGAAGGUGUGUGGUCUGAGAAGAGGCAGCCUGAUUGCUUCUUGGGUUCCUGCCUUUUAGUCUGGUUGUUAGGAAGCUUAGAGAUGACAGGGUCCUAGCCACUUUCAUUCCACCACUCCCUCCCUCCCCCACACACACAUGACUAAUUAAGGGACUAAUGUCCAAACUAUAGGGUCACUUGACCUCUCCCAGCUGCAACUCCAAACAGCUGUCUUAGAGAGUGACCUUUUCUUACUUUCUCCCUCUGAGUCUGGCACCAAAGGAAAUGCACUGAAGAGACACACAUGCACUGCUUCAUGCAUGGUUUUCACAAACAAAUGCCAUGACAGUAACGUUAUUUAGAUUCACAGCUGUCUAGAUCAAUGGAACAGACCUGCUAAUGCGUCACUGACACCCUAUUAACGUCACCUGUAAUACGCAAUCAUUACAUUUUGGAAAUUGUAUUAUGAAGGCUGUGAAUAGUAAUCACAUGGUUUCGAUGCACAUUGAUCUUGCACAAUGUAUAAUAUUGAUAAUGUAGGUAGUGAAGAGGGGAUAACUCAUUUCAAGCUCUUAGUAAAAGUUAAUUAUGAUCCCCUGUCAUACUGUAGUUUCUGAUUUCGCUCAUCUGCUCAUUAACACUUUUUUAAAAAAUAAAACUCAAUAUGGCAGUAAUUAGUUAUGUAUUUGUGCUUGAGCAAAGGCACUGAAACAAUCACACACUAGAGGGUGUGAAAUGAAUUAGUUCUAUUAAGAAUUGUGGAUUACAAUGUAGUGAAACACAUUAGUGCUAAUAUUAAAGCAACUUGCCCUUGUAAGAUUCCUAAACGUUUGUACUUGUUUCCAACAGAUACAAAUCAAAACAAAAUUAUAUUUAGCACAGUAUGUCAUGAAUUUCCCAGCUUGAUGCAUCCACUCAUUCACUGAUAUCAAAGUGGCAGAUGAGGGAAUUUGAAGAGUUUUUUUUUUUUUUUUUGAUUACAUAACAAAACCACAUUGAGCAUGUUGGAAACUAAAAUAAACUAAAAUUCUGCUAUUUUCUCU